rnacentral:rRNA from 1 species
AUUGAACGCUGGCGGCAGGCCUAACACAUGCAAGUCGAACGAGUGGCGGACGGGUGAGUAAUGUCUGUGAAACUGCCCGAUGUAGGGGGAUAACUACUGGAAACGGUAUCUAAUACCGCCUACCAUCUGAUGUGCCCAGAUGGGAUUAGCUAGUAGGUGGGGUAACGGCUCACCUAGGCGACGAUCCCUAUCUGGUCUGAGAGGAUGAGCAGCAAAACUGGAACGGAGACACGGUCCAGACUCCUAAGGGAGGCAGCAGUGGGGAAUAUUGCACAAUGGGCGCAAGCCUGAUACAGCCAGGCCGAGUGUAUGAAGAAGGCCUUCGGGUUGUAAAGUACUUUCAGCGAGGAGGCGUUACUCGCAGAAGAAGCACCGGCUAACUCCGUGCCAGCAGCCGCGGUAAUAC